CGGGGUGCAGCAGGCGCGAAAACUUUGCAAUAAGCGAAAGCUUGACAGGGCUAUCCCGAGUGCCAUCCGCUGAGGAAGGCUUUUACCCAGUCUAGAACGCUGGGGGAAUAAGGAGAGGGCAAGUCUGGUGUCAGCCGCCGCGGUAAUACCAGCUCUCCGAGUGGUGUGGAUGUUUAUUGGGCCUAAAGCAUCCGUAGCUGGCUAAGUUAGUCCCCUGUUAAAUCCACCGAAUUAAUCGUUGGAUCGCGGGGGAUACUGCUUGGCUAGGGGACGAGAGAGGCAGACGGUAUUUUCGGGGUAGGGGUGAAAUCCUAUAAUCCCGGGAAGACCACCAGUGGCGAAGGCUGUCUGCUAGAACGCGCCCGACGGUGAGGGAUGAAAGCUGGGGGAGCGAACCGGAUUAGAUACCCGGGUAGUCCCAGCUGUAAACGAUGCAGGCUAGGUGUUUGAACGGCCACGUGCCGUUCUAGUGCCGCAGGGAAGCUGUUAAGCCUGCCGCCUGGGGAGUACGAUCGCAAGAUUGAAACUUAAAGGAAUUGGCGGGGGAGCAC
rnacentral:rRNA from 1 species